AUAGUAUUACUUCAGUCACAUUUGCAGUGAAUGGGACCGACUAAAAAGAGACUUGAGUUAUAGGGUUUGAUUCGUUUGAAGAACUAAAUCGAAGGGAAGGGACAAUGGACUAUGGGUCAGAGAUGAUUUAAUUGGGGUUUC